rnacentral:sRNA from 1 species
AAUAUCGCUUAAUUCUUUUAUAAGAAGCGGGGGAACCAAUAUCUAGGGGUGAAUCCUCAAUGGAUGGGCUACUUAACCCUUUAGCCCUAACCCGACAGCUAACCUCGUCUGCGGAAAAAAGGGGA